CCUACGUGUGGCUGCAGUGAGGAAUAUUGGUCAAUGGCCGAGAGGCUGAACCAGCCAAGUCGCGUGAGGGAAGACGGCCCUACGGGUUGUAAACCUCUUUUGUCGGGGAGCAAAGCGAACCACGUGUGGUUCAUUGAGAGUACCCGAAGAAAAAGCAUCGGCUAACUCCGUGCCAGCAGCCGCGGUAAUACGGAGGAUGCGAGCGUUAUCCGGAUUUAUUGGGUUUAAAGGGUGCGCAGGCGGAGGUGCAAGUCAGCGGUCAAAUUGCGGGGCUCAACCCCGGGGCUGCAUUGGGAACUGCCAGGCUGGAGUGCCGGAGAGGCAGGCGGAAUUCCUAGUGUAGCGGUGAAAUGCGUAGAUAUUAGGAGGAACACCAGUGGCGAAGGCGGCCUGCUGGACGGUGACUGACGCUGAGGCUCGAAAGCGUGGGGAGCAAACAGGAUUAGAUACCCCAGUAGUC
rnacentral:rRNA from 1 species